rnacentral:rRNA from 1 species
UUUAGCUAGUAUACCUGAGCAAAGAGAACUAUAGUUCAGCCCCCCGAAACUAGGCGAGCUACUUCAGGACAGCCUGUUAGGCUAACGCCUUAAGGGCACACCCGUCUCUGUCGCAAAAGAGUGGGAAGAUCCUCAAGUAGCGGUGACAAAUCUAUCGAGCCUAGUAAUAGCUGGUUGCAUAAAAAGUGAAUUUAAGUUCAGCCUCCUGGCACCGUACAUUAGCUGGCUAAAGCCAUCAAAAAUAAACAGUGAGUCAAGAGAGUUAGUCAAAGAGGGUACAGCCCCUUUGAAAAAGGACACAACCUCAAUGGGAGAAUAAAGAUCAAAUAAUAUUAGGAAAUUUACUUUAGUGGGCCUAAAAGCAGCCACCUAUUAAGAAAGCGUUAUAGCUCCUGUAAAAUUUUUCCUUAAAUACCGAACCUUACUCUUCAUUCCCCUCCUCACUAUUAAGCCCUCCCACAACCCCUGGGAAAGACCCUGCUAAAAUGAGUAAUAAGAGGGAACGCCCCUCUCCGCUUCACGUGUGUAAAUCGGAGCGGACCUACCGCCGAUAAUUAACGAACCGCCUCAAACGAGGGUAGUGUCACACCAUAUAAAUUGCAAGAAAAUUUAACACGAAAAUUCGUUACCCCUACACAGGUGUGCACCCCCGGAAAGACUAAACCAAAGGGAAGGAACUCGGCAAACACAAGCCUCGCCUGUUUACCAAAAACAUCGCCUCUUGCAAAAUUAACAAAUAAGAGGUCCCGCCUGCCCAGUGACUGUGUUUAACGGCCGCGGUAUUAUGACCGUGCGAAGGUAGCGCAAUAAAUUGUCUCUUAAUUAGGGACUAGUAUGAAUGGCAUCACGAGGGCUUAACUGUCUCCCCUUUAAAGUCAAUGAAAUUGAUCUCCCCGUGCAGAAGCGGGGAUAGAAAUGUAAGACGAGAAGACCCUAUGGAGCUUUAGACUUAAAGUACCUCAUGUUAAAGACCCUCUCUCUCUGAGGAUAAACAAAAUGAGCCUUACUGACAUGUCUUCGGUUGGGGCGACCACGGAGAAAAAUAAAACCUCCACAUGGGCGGGCUACUUCAGCCCUAAAAUACAGACCUACAGGUCUAACUAACAGUAAUUCUGACCUCUAAAGACCCGGCGUAAGCCGAUUAAUGAACCUAGUUACCCUAGGGAUAACAGCGCAAUCCCCUCUUAGAGUCCUAAUCGACGAGGGGGUUUACGACCUCGAUGUUGGAUCAGGAUAUCCUAAUGGUGCAGACGCUAUUAAGG